rfam:Aedes albopictus isolate Foshan contig46611, whole genome shotgun sequence.
UAGCCAAGUGGUUAGGGCUAUGGAUCGCUAAUCCAGAGACGGCGGGUUCGAUUCCCGU